rnacentral:rRNA from 1 species
AACGAACGCUGGCGGCAUGCCUAACACAUGCAAGUCGAACGAGAUCUUCGGGUCUAGUGGCGCACGGGUGCGUAACGUGUGGGAAUCUGCCCUUUGGUUCGGAAUAACAGUUGGAAACGACUGCUAAUACGGGAUGAUUACGAAAGUCCAAAGAUUUAUCGCAAGAGGAUGAGGCCGCGUAGGAUUAGCUAGGUGGUGUGGUAAAGGCGCACCAAGGCGACGAUCCUUAGCUGGUCUGAGAGGAUGAUCAGCCACACUGGGAUUGAGACACGGCCCAGACUCCUACGGGAGGCAGCAGUGGGGAAUAUUGGACAAUGGGCGAAAGCCUGAUCCAGCAAUGCCGCGUGAGUGAUGAAGGCCUUAGGGUUGUAAAGCUCUUUUACCCGGGAUGAUAAUGACAGUACCGGGAGAAUAAGCUCCGGCUAACUCCGUGCCAGCCGCCGCGGUAA